CCCGCCCACCGUGCGAACCCGAGGAAGGGGAGCCAAAGAAAUGUAAGACGACAGAGUGACAAGCUGAAUGAGCCAGUCAGCAGGCGCUGAGUGGGGGCAGGAUUAGCACUCUCCCCCUCUUCCCCACGUAGGCGUAACCGGAGAUUUCUGGUCUGAGGUUGCCUAUCGUGCUUUAUGGAGAUUUUGUUGCACGAUUUCGGUGCAUCUGCUCGUUGCCGUGCGAGGCACUAGAUAGAAUGCACUUAAUUGACUUAAUUAUUGGAGGUUUUAAAGGAGAGAAUAAUGUGGAAAGGAUAAAGGAGGCGAAGCACAAGCCAGAGGGGUUGGCCGGGCCCAUGGUUGGAAUGAGGAAGGGUGUGAUCUUCGGUUAGGAUUUGCAUAAAACGGAACCCAUCCAGGCGAUUCCAACUUCGCCCAUUUAUUGGUAGUCCUUGGGGCGGUGCCUCGCCUCUUUCUCCGCCCCCGAGCGGAACAUCACGGGAGAUGUAGUUCCAAGACUGGUUGCCAUGGCGUUCUCGACAGCCUCGCGAGUCCGACCCCGCCCUUCAGGAGUGACGAGCGGCCUGACCAAUGGGAGCAGGGGGCGGGCUCUCUGCGGAAGGACUUGAAGGUGGCGGUGGUGAAGGUACAGGCCGUUGUGGCGGCUCAGAGGCAGGUGACUAUGAAAGGCUUAUAUUUCUUUUUUUUUUUUUUUUAUGAAGAAAUAACAUUUGUAUUUCAAGAAAGGGAAAAUCUUCCUGUUACAGAGGAUAACUUUGUAAAACUUCAAGUUAAAGCUUGUGCUCUCAGCCAGAUAAAUACAAAGCUUCUGGCAGAAAUGAAGAUGAAAAAGGAUUUAUUUCCUGUUGGAAGAGAAAUUGCUGGAAUUGUAUUAGAUGUUGGAAGCAAGGUAUCAUUCUUUCAACCAGAUGAUGAAGUAGUCGGAAUUUUGCCCCUGGACUCUGAAGACCCUGGACUUUGUGAAGUUGUUAGAGUACAUGAGCAUUACUUGGUUCAUAAACCAGAAAAGGUCACAUGGAUGGAAGCAGCAGGAAGCAUUCGGGAUGGAGUGCGCGCCUAUACAGCUCUGCAUUAUCUUUCUCAUGUCUCUCCUGGAAAAUCAGUGCUGAUAAUGGAUGGAGCAAGUGCAUUUGGUACAAUAGCUAUUCAGUUAGCACAUCAUAGAGGAGCCAAAGUGAUUUCAACAGCAUGCAGCCUUGAAGAUAAGCAGUGCCUUGAAAGAUUCAGACCUCCCAUAGCCCGAGUGAUUGAUGUAUCUAAUGGGAAAGUUCAUGUUGCUGAAAGCUGUUUGGAAGAAACAGGUGGCCUGGGAGUAGAUAUUGUCCUAGAUGCUGGAGUGAGAUUGUAUAGUAAAGAUGAUGAACCAGCUGUAAAACUACAACUACUACCACAUAAACAUGAUAUCAUCACACUUCUUGGUGUUGGAGGCCACUGGGUAACAACAGAAGAAAACCUUCAGCUGGAUCCUCCAGAUAGCCAUUGCCUUUUCCUCAAGGGAGCAACGUUAGCUUUCCUGAAUGAUGAAGUUUGGAAUUUGUCAAAUGUACAACAGGGAAAAUAUCUUUCUUAACAAUCCUUCCAGCUACGUAUCUUAAAGGAUGUGAUGGAGAAGUUAUCAACUGGUGUUUUCAGACCUCAGUUGGAUGAACCCAUUCCACUGUAUGAGGCAAAAGUUUCCAUGGAAGCUGUUCAGAAACAUCAAGGAAGAAAAAAGCAAGUUGUUCAAUUUUAAUUUUCUUCUUUCUCAGACUUCAAUCGGAUGAACGUAUUCCAGUAUUUGAAGCCAAAAUUUUAUUUGGAAAUUGUUGAGAAAAACCAAGGAAGAGAAAAGCAAGUUGCAUUUUUAAGCACGUUUCCCUGCUAAGACAAGAUGCUCAGUUGACACAUUUGAAAAGUGUUUGAAAAAUUCUUGUGCAAAUGAUCAAGAUAAUUCUAUAAUUAACAUCUUAAGGGAAUUUUCUAAAGGUCUUUUCAUUGUUUCUAUAUAUUUUGCCCCUGCUAUAAAAUUCCUUCCAUGAAGAAAACUGCUUUCAGCAAAAGCCACACUACUCUAUUGAUAAAGCUGUUGCAGGCCUUUGCUAAGCUAUCAAAGUAACGUAUUAAUUUUCUGUCAACUCCGUUCUCAACACCUUCCUUAAGUCUUUGCUGUCAUCAUUUAAGCAUUUGAGUAUAUUUUGAAGUCUUAAAGGACCUAGCCCAUAGGCACUUAAA